AGUGAACGCUGGCGGUAGGCCUAACACAUGCAAGUCGAACGGCAGCACAGUAAGAGCUUGCUCUUACGGUUGGCGAGUGGCGGACGGGUGAGGAAUACAUCGGAAUCUACUUUUUCUUGGGGGAUAACGGAGGGAAACUUACGCUAAUACCGCAUACGACCUACGGGUUAAAGCAAGGGAUCUUCGGACCUUGCGCGAUUGAAUUAGCCGAUGUCGGAUUAGCUAGUUGGCGUGGUAAAGGCCCACCAAGGCGACGAUCCGUAGCUGAUCUGAGAGGAUGAUCAGCCACACUGGAACUGAGACACGGUCCAGACUCCUACGGGAGGCAGCAGUAGGGAAUAUUGGACAAUGGGCGCAAGCCUGAUCCAGCCAUACCGCGUGGGUGAAGAAGGCCUUCGGGUUGUAAAGCCCUUUUGUUGGGAAAGAACAGCAGCAGGUUAAUACCCCGAUGUUCUGACGGUACCCAAAGAAUAAGCACCGGCUAACUUCGUG
rnacentral:rRNA from 1 species